rnacentral:rRNA from 1 species
GAUGAACGCUAGCUACAGGCUUAACACAUGCAAGUCGAGGGGAAACGAUGAGAGAGCUUGCUCUCUUAGUCGUCGACCGGCGCACGGGUGAGUAACGCGUAUCCAACCUGCCUCUGACCAAGGGAUAACCCGUCGAAAGUCGGACUAAUACCUUAUGCAGUCGUCGGAAGUCAUCUGAUGACGACGAAAGAUUUCAUCGGUGAGAGAUGGGGAUGCGUCUGAUUAGCUUGUUGGCGGGGUAACGGCCCACCAAGGCGACGAUCAGUAGGGGUUCUGAGAGGAAGGUCCCCCACAUUGGAACUGAGACACGGUCCAAACUCCUACGGGAGGCAGCAGUGAGGAAUAUUGGUCAAGGGGCGUAAGCCUGAACCAGCCAAGUAGCGUGCAGGAUGACGGCCCUAUGGGUUGUAAACUGCUUUUAGGCGGGGAUAAAGUGAGGGACGUGUCCUUCAUUGCAGGUACCGCAUGAAUAAGGACCGGCUAAUUCCGUG